rnacentral:rRNA from 1 species
UACGUAGGGUGCAAGCGUUAAUCGGAAUUACUGGGCGUAAAGCGUGCGCAGGCGGUUUUGUAAGACAGGUGUGAAAUCCCCGGGCUCAACCUGGGAACUGCAUUUGUGACUGCAUGGCUAGAGUGCGGCAGAGGGGGAUGGAAUUCCGCGUGUAGCAGUGAAAUGCGUAGAUAUGCGGAGGAACACCGAUGGCGAAGGCAAUCCCCUGGGCCUGCACUGACGCUCAUGCACGAAAGCGUGGGGAGCAAACAGG